rnacentral:rRNA from 1 species
AGGACGCUUCCUUCGGGAAGCGAGCGUACACAGGUGCUGCAUGGCUGUCGUCAGCUCGUGUCGUGAGAUGUUGGGUUAAGUCCCGCAACGAGCGCAACCCUUGCCUUUAGUUGCCAGCAGUUCGGCUGGGCACGUCUAAAGGGACUGCCGGUGUUAAACCGGAGGAAGGUGGGGAUGACGUCAAGUCCUCAUGGCCUUUAUGACCAGGGCUACACACGUACUACAAUGGCCGAUACAAAGGGCAGCGACACUGCGAGGUGAAGCCAAUCCCGUAAAAUCGGUCUCAGUCCGGAUUGGAGUCUGCAACUCGACUUCAUGAAGCUGGAAUCGCUAGUAAUCGCAGAUCAGCCAAGCUGCGGUGAAUACGUUCCCGGGCCUU